ACGGCGCACGGGUGCGUAACGCGUAUGCAAUCUACCUUUCACAGAGGGAUAGCCCAGAGAAAUUUGGAUUAAUACCUCAUAGCAUAACGACCUGGCAUCAGGAUGUUAUUAAAGUCACAACGGUGAAAGAUGAGCAUGCGUCCCAUUAGCUAGUUGGUAAGGUAACGGCUUACCAAGGCUACGAUGGGUAGGGGUCCUGAGAGGGAGAUCCCCCACACUGGUACUGAGACACGGACCAGACUCCUACGGGAGGCAGCAGUGAGGAAUAUUGGACAAUGGGCGCAAGCCUGAUCCAGCCAUGCCGCGUGCAGGAUGACGGUCCUAUGGAUUGUAAACUGCUUUUAUACGAGAAGAAACAACAUUACGUGUAAUGUCUUGACGGUAUCGUAAGAAUAAGGAUCGGCUAACUCCGUGCCAGCCGCCGCGGGUAAUAAA
rnacentral:rRNA from 1 species